CCAAGCGAUUUCUGCUCGGGCGAAAGAGGCGGCGGAGCUAAGUUUCCUUUCUCCGGCGCCGGCCAAGGGGUGUUCCCGCAAGAUCCUCACACGUUCGUGGCCAUCUCGUUGAGGGGAGCACGCGGACGCGAGGAAACGCCGGAUUUGGAGCUCACCCGAAACCCUAGCACCUCUCUUUCUCGGUUGUAAGUCCAAGAAAACGAAGAUAAAGAAAAAGGAAAGCUAAUAU